rnacentral:rRNA from 1 species
GUCUACGGCCAUGCUACCCUGAACAAGUCUGAUCCCGUCUGAUCUCCGAAGCUAAGCAGGGUUGGGCCUGGUUAGUACUUAGAUGGGCGACCACCUAGGAAGACCAGGUGCUGUAGGCG